GGCCAGAGAGCUCAGUCACCUGAGCAUGGUGCUGAUAACACCAAGGUCACGGGUUCGAUCCCUGUUCGGUCCC
rnacentral:tRNA from 1 species